UGGGAUUAAGGAUGUGUGCCACAA
rnacentral:misc_RNA from 1 species